AGGAGAAUGGCUGAGUUUAGGCGGUGGGUUGUAGCCCUUCUUAUGUGGAAUUUUUCCUCUUCUUCUA
rnacentral:tRNA from 1 species